rnacentral:rRNA from 1 species
CACCGCGGUUAUACGAGAGGCCCGAGUUGACUAACCCUCGGCGUAAAGGGUGGUUUAAUAUAUAUAAUACUAAAGUUGAACCCUCUCAAAACUGUUAUACGUUCUCGAGAGAGAGAAGACCUGAAACGAAAGUAGCUUUAACACCUUUGACUCCACGAAAGCUGAGAAA